rnacentral:rRNA from 1 species
AUGAAGCUGGAAUUGCUAGUAAUGGCAGGUCAGCAUACUGCCGUGAAUACGUUCCCGGGCCCUUGUACACACCGCCCGUCACACCAUGAGAGUUGGAAAUACCCGAAGCCUGUGAGCUAACAGUAAUGAGGCAGCAGUCGAAGGUAGAGCCAAUGAUUGGGGUGAAGUCGUAACAAGGUAAC